UUUCUCAAGAAGUCUCUACCUCCCAGACCCUGCCAGGAAGCUGGUGGCAUUUCACGAGGUAGUAAUAACAAGGACAGAGCGUUCUAGCCUGCUGGAGCCUGUUGGCCGGUCACUCUUUCCAUUGCCUUUUGUUUUCAUGCAUCAUUCCCCUCACUUGCUUCUCAGAUUCCUCAGGGCUUUGAAAAAGCCACAAAUGCUCCACACAGUGACAACACCCAGCGGGCUGGCAGGCAUCGCGACACGCACCCUGCCCUAAGCGAUGGCACACAUGCAAACCCUGAUAACUGACACCCAGCCACACACCCAAGAAGAGGCAACAGACGGCUUCCAGAAAGCUCCCCAUUCACUGACAAAGAAUUUUGCAAGGGAGAAGAGAACCAUGGAUAAAUCACCUCUCUGUACAACAAAGCAAACUGAUUGGAGUUCUGAAUUGGAAACAUGAGUUACCCUGAGAUAGUGCUCUCUGGAAGGCCAAACUUUCUAAAGAAAUGGAGCGUAGCUUGGCUCAGGAA